rnacentral:lncRNA from 1 species
CGAUAUUUGUAUUACACACGUUUUUACAGUCAUCAUAUUAAUUCACAUUAAGUCAUCUUCAUUUGUGUGAUUUUUUUCCCUAUCAGCUAACAAUACACACAGAAACAGGAGAGCCCUAACCCUGUAACCUGCUUCCAGAGUGUUCACGGUGUAGGAGGGCUUGGCAUGCAGAGAGAUGACGGGACGGGGACGUGUCUUGCCUCCAUCUGCCCUUCAAUACUUGGUUGCGAGCUUAGUCUCUGCAGCGUGUCCACCUGACAGACAGAAGCUAAGCUCUGUGUUUACUGACAGCUGGGACGGUCACUUCUGGGAAAAGCGAGGUUCGCUGUAACUAAGAAAAACUGACCCACGAAAGUGGCUUCACUUCAACAAAUGCAAGUCCAAGCAGACUCGCACGCCCUGGUGUGUGUGGUCUAAAUUUUCUAACAGUGUGGCCUGACACCCAGAGAAAGAGGACAGGGACAGACCGUGAAUCGCACCUGCUCUAUAUGAUCAGAUUCUUAUAUUUAAUUGCUGAUAUCAAACCUCUGUUUUGCGACACAGAAUUGCUGCUAACUCCCAUGAUGGAUUUCUUCGUUUUUCCGAAGUAGCUCACGAGAGAGCUAGCCAAGCUGCCUAUAGCCACUUGGAGUAAUUCUCUUUGGUCUUCUAAUCACUGCAGAGACAUAGACGGCUGGUUUUGUCAGUAAAGAACAGAUUAUGAAGAGAGGUGAGGCCCCAAACAGGUCCAAAAGCCAUGCACUUACGAUGCAUCAAGGAGACAGGAGGAGAACUACAUGGCGCUGUAUGUAUGAGGACGUCUUCCCCGGGGUUUACACAGACGGGGCAAGGGCUGCCGAGUGACCAGGUCUGGGCUGGGUCAGAGCCCCACCACGUGCAGAGUUCAGCUACCUCUCCUGCACCAUAGUAGGGCCACUUUAUUUCCACUCCGUCUGCUGCCUCUGGAGACAACAGAAGACAGUAGUCACUGAAGUCUGCCGGGAGAAGAAAAACAAGGAACACACUCGGAUCUCCAACUCUGUCAGUUAAGGGAGAGCAGGAAGGUUCUUUUCCUUCUCUUAGGCAAUUAGAUGAGCGAUACUGGAAUGUGAGCGUGGAAUCCUUGUCUGAAGUGCCCAGACUUAGCCACAAAGUAACGAAAACUGAGAUUUGAGAAAAACACAUUUUACAAAGCCUGCUCUUAGACAAAGAUGAUGGGAGAACACGCCUGGCAACUCAGGAAUCCUGGGCAUGACCCUCUGAUUCAAGGAGAAGGGAGAGACCCUGCCGACGCUACUAGGCUUUAUAACAGCACAGAGCUAGUCAUUACAGAUUAAGGAAAUACCCAGCGUAGACUGAAAAGGAAGGAGAGGCAUAAUUUAGCUGUUAUUUUAGCACCAGAAAAUUGGCACUUAUGUACAUGGGGAGCUUUCACUUCCCUUCUCCCAGGUCUGUCCAGAUGCACUCAACACCUUUCUCUCGGUCUUCCUGGCCACCCAAUAAACACUUCAUGUGGCUGCAGUACUGGGUACUUUUGCAUUGCUAUCCUAUCCACUCCAGACAUAUUUAUUAUUUAACUAGGGCCUUCUAAAAAUUCAAUUUCUUUACCCACUUGCAUGACUCAGGGUGGAAGUUUCAUGCACUGAGAGGGAAAUGGAAAAGAUACUCUGAAGCAGCUGCACUUCUUAAAAAGACUAAUUUUAAAUAGAAUCAGAAAAAUGCAAAUAUGUCAUCUCACUUGACCAGAGUCAUAGCAUCUGAUUUAACGUUUUCAGUCCAGACCAUCUGGGCUUGAUUCUCAUCGUUUGAAAUUCUAUAGGAGCUAUUUCGGUUGUGCUUGGGAAAGUUUCAUUUGAGUUACAAGUAGGAUGAGAACCUAGUCCUAUUGCUGAAAUGGAAACAUCUCUCUCAUUUUUCCCCCUCACUCUCGGUUUGAGAACAGUUGCUUUGGGAAGAACAAUUGGGGGCAUUAGAACACAUUUAAGAGCUGAAGAACAUUUCACAUGCCACCAGCUAUCAACGUAGAGCUCAAACGAACGGCAUCCUUGAUCUAGGAAGGAGACAGCCUAUUUCCUCCAUACUGGAAGAAACACACUUUUCCCAUACUGAUGUUUCUAUGCCAUUCCUUAUGGCAUACAUGUUUGGAUAAGUUUACUCUGUUUCCUAAGAAAGUUCUGGAAGAGGACACACCCUGCAUGGUGAUAAGACUUAGAGUGAAGGAAAACGGUCCUUCGCCUUUCUUUGCCUCCCUCUCCCUCCCUUCCCCCUCAGGCUCAAAUAUUGUGGAAGCUGUGAAAAUAGGUUCUGAGUCUCUGAUUUUAGAAACAUGUUUUCUCUCAAACAGAUGCUGUUAUAACACCAACAUCAAGAGAAAAACACCGCCCACAGACUUUCCACCCUAACACAUCUCUUGUUUUAAUUUUAAAACAGUCCCAUCUUCUCCUAGUCCAUAGAGGUACAUAAUUUUUUUUUUUUUUUUUUUUUUUUUGGCGUACUGAAAUGUCCAUUUGAGACAGUAUUUUGUUAACAGCAUACUAAAGAAGAUUACAAUGGUCUUGCAUCUUAAGAGUACACAUUGGAGUAAUUAAAUUCCUUAGUCCAAAAGAACUAUCUUUACUGAUCCUUCCAUGGCCUUCAUUUGUGUUAGUUAUUUGAUUAUUCAUUUUAUUAAUACAAAGAACAUCUUAUUUUAUUUUUUAUAAAAUAAAAAAUAUUUUUAUUUUUUAGCCUUUAUUAUUUAGGCUGAAGUUAAGACACGGUGAGAGGGGACUUCCUGGGUGGCACAGUGGUUAAGACUCCGUGCUCCCAAGGCAAGGGACUGGGGUUCGAUCCCUGGUCGGGGAACUAGAUCCCACAUGCAUGCCGCAACUAAGAUCCUGCAUGCCACAACUAAGCCCAGUGCAGCCUAAAUAAAUAAAUAAAUUCAUUAAAAAAAAAAAAAAAGAAAGAUGCAGUGAGAAAACAGUAGGAGAAGGAAGGCAAUAAACACCAUUCACAGUGUUACGGUGUUUCUUAACAGAAAGAAAACAAAAGGAAAAACUAACAGAAUUACCAAUGCUGAAACACAAAAAAUGUGAACACAUUCCAUAAACUUCAAAAAGUGGCAAAAAAAGGAAAGAGGAAUGCUUCUAGUGGACUGAACUGUCAAAAGGCAUCUUAUUAAAUAUGCCUCC